rnacentral:piRNA from 1 species
UCCCUGGCUUGUCCUUUCAGCGCUCUUC